AGCAGCCGCGGUAAUUCCAGCUCCAAUAGCGUAUAUUAAAGUUGUUGCAGUUAAAAAGCUCGUAGUUGAACUUCGGGGUUUACCCAUUGGUCAGGCUUAAUUGUCUGUACUGGUGAGAUGAAUCUCUACCUUCUGAGGAACUUUUAUGCCAUUUAGUUGGUGUGAUAGGAAAUCAGGACUGUUACUUUGAAAAAAUUAGAGUGUUUAAAGCAGGCUAACGUCUGAAUACAUUAGCAUGGAAUAAUGAAAUAGGACGGAUUGGUUCUAUUUCGUUGGUUUCUAGGAUCACCGUAAUGAUUAAUAGGGAUAGUUGGGGGCAUUAGUAUUCAAUUGUCAGAGGUGAAAUUCUUGGAUUUAUUGAAGACUAACUAUUGCGAAAGCAUUUGCCGAGGAUGUUUUCAUUAAUCAAGAACGAAAGUUAGGGGAUCGAAGACGAUCAGAUACCGUCGUAGUCUUAAC
rnacentral:rRNA from 1 species